rnacentral:rRNA from 1 species
UGAGGAAUAUUGGUCAAUGGGCGAGAGCCUGAACCAGCCAAGUAGCGUGCAGGAUGACGGCCCUUGGGUUGUAAACUGCUUUUAUGUGGGGAUAAAGUGCGUGACGUGUCAUGCAUUGCAGGUACCACAUGAAUAAGGACCGGCUAAUUCCGUGCCAGCAGCCGCGGUAAUACGGAAGGUCCGGGCGUUAUCCGGAUUUAUUGGGUUUAAAGGGAGCGUAGGCUGUCUAUUAAGCGUGUUGUGAAAUAUACCGGCUCAACCGGUGGCUUGCAGCGCGAACUGGUCGACUUGAGUAUGCAGGAAGUAGGCGGAAUUCAUGGUGUAGCGGUGAAAUGCUUAGAUAUCAUGACGAACUCCGAUUGCGCAGGCAGCUUACUGUAGCAUAACUGACGCUGAUGCUCGAAAGUGCGGGUAUCAAACAGG